UCCAGGUAUUACAGUGUUCUGUGGGUAUUGUUCCAGGUAUUAUAGUGUUCUGUGGGUAUUGUUCCAGGUAUUAUAGUGUUCUGUGGGUAUUGUUCCAGGUAUUAUAGUGUUCUGUGGGUAUUGUUCCAGGUAUUAUAGUGUUCUGUGGGUAUUGUUCCAGGUAUUACAGUGUUCUGUGGGUAUUGUUCCAGGUAUUACAGUGUUCUGUGGGUAUUGUUCCAGGUAUUAUAGUGUUCUGUGGGUAUUGUUCCAGGUAUUACAGUGUUCUGUGGGUAUUGUUCCAGGUUUUACAGUGUGUUCUGUGGGUA
rnacentral:lncRNA from 1 species